rnacentral:rRNA from 1 species
CCUACGGGUGGCAGCAGUGGGGAAUAUUGGGCAAUGGAGGCAACUCUGACCCAGCAACGCCGCGUGAAUGAUGAAGGUCUUCGGAUUGUAAAGUUCUGUGAUGGGGGAGGAAGACAAUGACGGUACCCCAAUAGCAAGCCACGGCUAACUACGGGCCAGCAGCCGCGGUAAUACGGAGGUGGCAAGCGUUAGCCGGAAUUACUGGGCGUAAAGGGUGCGUAGGGGGGAGGGGAAGUUGGCGGGGUAAUUCCGGGGCUCAACCUCGGCCCUGCCGUCGAAACUGUUAGCCUAGAGUGCAGGAGUGGUAAGUGGAAUUCCUCGUGUAGCGGUGCACUGCUUAGAUAUUAGGAGGAACUCC